rnacentral:rRNA from 1 species
GAGCGACCCCAGGUCAGGSGGGAACACCCGCUGA